AACAAGUGGUGGAGCAUGUUGCUUAAUUCGAUAAUACACGAAAAACCUUACCAAGGUUUGACAUCCCUCGCAAAGCUAUAGAAAUAUAGUGGAGGUUAUCGAGGUGACAGGUGGUGCAUGGCUGUCGUCAGCUCGUGUCUUGAGAUGUUUGGUUAAGUCCCGCAACGAGCGCAACCCCACUCUUUAGUUACUUUUCUAAAGAGACUGCACAGUAAUGUAGAGGAAGGAUGGGAUCACGUCAAGUCAUCAUGCCCCUUAUGCCUUGGGCUGCAAACGUGCUACAAUGGCGAACACAAUGUGUUGCAAACCAGCGAUGGUAAGCUAAUCACCAAAUUUCGUCUCAGUUCGGAUAGGAGGCUGCAAUUCGCCUCCUUGAAGUUGGAAUCACUAGUAAUCCCGUGUCAGCUAUAUCGGGGUGAAUACGUUCCCAGGUCUUGUACACACCGCCCGUCAAACUAUGAGAGGAGUGGGCAUUUAAAAAUACAUUC
rnacentral:rRNA from 1 species